rnacentral:rRNA from 1 species
UAACCUGCCUUGGAGUGGGGAAUAACAGCUGGAAACAGCUGCUAAUACCGCAUGAUGCAGUUGGGUCGCAUGGCUCUGACUGCCAAAGAUUUAUCGCUCUGAGAUGGACUCGCGUCUGAUUAGCUAGUUGGCGGGGUAACGGCCCACCAAGGCGACGAUCAGUAGCCGGACUGAGAGGUUGGCCGGCCACAUUGGGACUGAGACACGGCCCAGACUCCUACGGGAGGCAGCAG